rnacentral:rRNA from 1 species
UACGUAGGUGGCAAGCGUUGUUCGGAAUUAUUGGGCGUAAAGCGCGCGUAGGCGGCCCGAUAAGUCUGCUGUGAAAGUCCAGGGCUCAACCCUGGAAUGCCGGUGGAUACUGUCGGGCUAGAGUUCGGAAGAGGCAAGUGGAAUUCCUGGUGUAGCGGUGGAAUGCGCAGAUAUCAGGAGGAACACCUAUAGCGAAGGCAGCUUGCUGGGACGACACUGACGUAAGGCGCGAAAGCGUGGGGAGCGAACAGG